CCCACCUGUUGACUGCCUCAUACAUUGGAUCGGAAUAUUGGGUUCCUGCAUCUCCGCUGUACAGAAAGUCAAAGGGAUCGUAUUCCGCAUAGUAGGAAGUGCUGUCGGAGGCGCUGUCGUUGCCUGCAAGUAUUAUGCAAAUAUGCUCGAGAGCCGAGGCCUACUACUGCGAGAAUCCGGGCUGUGAUGGGCCCGUGUGGCCAAAAAUAAAUGAGACGGCCCCUAAAGUCGCAGCAGUGCGAUGUGGAUCGGUUGGACUAGCACCACUGGCAAUGCGAGACCGCUUCGCAAAUCUACGCUAACAAAUCCGUUGCGAGUGCCAUCGCUAAAAGCUAAUUGUGAUUGCUGUCAUUCGUCGCCCACGCUGACCCAGUACAGUGGAACCAAUACCAUUCGAUAUUUGUUUAAGGAGAUGGUCGCAUACAUCAAAAGUACAAAAAAAUAUGACAACAAGAACCCAUGAAAUACUUUUACUCUUAAUCAUGGCUUGCUUUAUAUUUUAAUUUUAAUUUUAAAUCUUCAAUAAGCAGAACAAAUACCCACUGUACCUAAGUCUGUAUUUUUAAA